rnacentral:rRNA from 1 species
AUUGAACGCUGGCGGCAUGCCUUGCACAUGCAAGUCGAACGGCAGCACGGGUGCUUGCACCUGGUGGCGAGUGGCGAACGGGUGAGUAAUACAUCGGAACAUGUCCUGUAGUGGGGGAUAGCCCGGCGAAAGCCGGAUUAAUACCGCAUACGAUCCACGGAUGAAAGCGGGGGACCUUCGGGCCUCGCGCUAUAGGGUUGGCCGAUGGCUGAUUAGCUAGUUGGUGGGGUAAAGGCCUACCAAGGCGACGAUCAGUAGCUGGUCUGAGAGGACGACCAGCCACACUGGGACUGAGACACGGCCCAGACUCCUACGGGAGGCAGCAGUGGGGAAUUUUGGACAAUGGGCGAAAGCCUGAUCCAGCAAUGCCGCGUGUGUGAAGAAGGCCUUCGGGUUGUAAAGCACUUUUGUCCGGAAAGAAAUCCUUGACUCUAAUACAGUCGGGGGAUGACGGUACCGGAAGAAUAAGCACCGGCUAACUACGUG